rnacentral:rRNA from 1 species
GAUGAACGCUGGCGGCGUGCCUAAUACAUGCAAGUCGAGCGAAUGGAUUAAGAGCUUGCUCUUAUGAAGUUAGCGGCGGACGGGUGAGUAACACGUGGGUAACCUGCCCAUAAGACUGGGAUAACUCCGGGAAACCGGGGCUAAUACCGGAUAAAAUUUUGAACCGCAUGGUUCGAAAUUGAAAGGCGGCUUCGGCUGUCACUUAUGGAUGGACCCGCGUCGCAUUAGCUAGUUGGUGAGGUAACGGCUCACCAAGGCAACGAUGCGUAGCCGACCUGAGAGGGUGAUCGGCCACACUGGGACUGAGAUACGGCCCAGACUCCUACGGGAGGCAGCAGUAGGGAAUCUUCCGCAAUGGACGAAAGUCUGACGGAGCAACGCCGCGUGAGUGAUGAAGGCUUUGGGUCGUAAAACUCUGUUGUUAGGGAAGAACAAGUGCUAGUUGAAUAAGCUGGCACCUUGACGGUACCUAACCAGAAAGCCACGGCUAACUACGUGCCAGCCGCCGCAGUAA